rnacentral:rRNA from 1 species
AUUGAACGCUGGCGGCAGGCCUACACAUGCAAGUCGAGCGGAUGAAGGGAGCUUGCUCCUGGAUUCAGCGGCGGACGGGUGAGUAAUGCCUAGGAAUCUGCCUGGUAGUGGGAUAACGUCCGGAAACGGGCGCUAAUACCGCAUACGUCCUGAGGGAGAAAGUGGGGGAUCUUCGGACCUCACGCUAUCAGAUGAGCCUAGGUCGGAUUAGCUAGUUGGUGGGGUAAAGGCCUACCAAGGCGACGAUCCGUAACUGGUCUGAGAGGAUGAUCAGUCACACUGGAACUGAGACACGGUCCAGACUCCUACGGGAGGCAGCAGUGGGGAAUAUUGGACAAUGGGCGAAAGCCUGAUCCAGCCAUGCCGCGUGUGUGAAGAAGGUCUUCGGAUUGUAAAGCACUUUAAGUUGGGAGGAAGGGCAGUAAGUUAAUACCUUGCUGUUUUGACGUUACCAACAGAAUAAGCACCGGCUAACUUCGUG